rnacentral:rRNA from 1 species
AAUGAACGUUGGCGGCGUGGAUCAGACAUGCAAGUCGGACGAGCUUCAGUAGCAAUACUGAGGAAAGUGGCGAAAGGGGCAGUAAUGUUUGGGUACCUACCUUGGGGUCUGGGAUAGCCAUUCUAACGGAUGGGUAAAACUGGACGAUUUGGCGCAAGUCAAGAAAGGUAACGCCUCGAGAGGGGCCCAAAUGGUAUUAGCUAGUUGGUGAGGUAAUGGCUCACCAAGGCGAUGAUGCCUAGCGGGUGUGAGAGCACGACCCGCGCCAUUGGCACUGAGACACUGGCCAGACUCCUACGGGAGGCUGCAGUCGAGGAUCUUCGGCAAUGGGCGAAAGCCUGACCGAGCGACGCCGCGUGUGCGAUGAAGGCCUUCUGGUUGUAAAGCACUGUCGAGGGGGAGCAAGCCGCAAGGUUGAGAGUACCCCUGGAGGAAGCACGGGCUAAGUUCGUGCCAGCAGCCGCAGUAAAAC